AGCGAACGCUGGCGGCAGGCCUAAUACAUGCAAGUCGAGCGCACCUUCGGGUGAGCGGCGGACGGGUGAGUAACGCGUGGGAACGUGCCCUUUGGUACGGAACAACUGAGGGAAACUUCAGCUAAUACCGUAUGUGCCCUUCGGGGGAAAGAUUUAUCGCCAUUGGAGCGGCCCGCGUUGGAUUAGGUAGUUGGUGAGGUAAAGGCUCACCAAGCCUACGAUCCAUAGCUGGUCUGAGAGGAUGAUCAGCCACACUGGGACUGAGACACGGCCCAGACUCCUACGGGAGGCAGCAGUAGGGAAUCUUGCGCAAUGGGCGAAAGCCUGACGCAGCCAUGCCGCGUGAAUGAUGAAGGUCUUAGGAUUGUAAAAUUCUUUCACCGGG
rnacentral:rRNA from 1 species